AAGUCGUAACAAGGUCUCCGUAGGUGAACCUGCGGAGGGAUCAUUAACACGUAUCCUACGUAUAUACCAACCGUGAACUUGUUUUCUUGCUUUAACUGGAGUAUAAGAGUUUUGGUGGAGUUCGGCGUGAUAAAUAAGGCUUUCGGGUCUUUUGCCGGCUUCAUCCUCUGAGCGUCAAGCUUGGGACUCGCCAGUUAGGGCGUUUCUGUUUCCUUAUCACGAAACACUUGUUUAUCAACUUAUUAACCAUUUGUACUUCUUUUGUACUAAACCAUGCAACUUUUUCACGCUUCGGUGUGAACUGUUGUAUAUUACGAAACGUAAAACAACUCUUAGCAACGGAUAUCUUGGUUCUG
rnacentral:misc_RNA from 1 species